AAUGAGAAGAGACACAUUCUGAUACGCUACUUCGGAGUUUAUACAGGUGAGAAGUCGAAGAAGGUACCAGCGAAGGUCAAGGGGAAAGCUGGCCGCGAAAACUUGGUUUCUGCGCAGCCGCGGUACGUCGUGGAGCAGAGCCCCCUACAUCACUCAGGACGUGUUUUCCAGGCAGCGCAUUUUCUCCUCGUGGCAAAACCCCUUGAACUGUUGCACACUUUGCGAGGUGCCUGGCUCGUGCUGACAAGGAUGGAGUUAUGUCUGCCUGAGAGAUAUACUUUGCCAAUCAUAAAAUUCAGAAUAUGCUUCCUGUUUGGCAAGAAACAAGUUGUGAUGCCCACAAAACUGGCAAUUUGUUCAUGAAAAAAAGAAACAUAAACUGAACAGAGGCAACCAGUGCUGAACCACAUCAUUUUCCGCGGGUCAAGGUGAAUGCUGACUACUGACGAUCACAUCAAAUAAAGGAUUUUUGGCAUAAAAUUGAUAGUACA
ensembl:lncRNA